AGUGAACGCUGGCGGUAGGCCUAACACAUGCAAGUCGAACGGCAGCACAGUAAGAGCUUGCUCUUACGGGUGGCGAGUGGCGGACGGGUGAGGAAUACAUCGGAAUCUACUUUUUCGUGGGGGAUAACGUAGGGAAACUUACGCUAAUACCGCAUACGACCUACGGGUGAAAGCAGGGGAUCUUCGGACCUUGCGCGAUUGAAUGAGCCGAUGUCGGAUUAGCUAGUUGGCGGGGUAAAGGCCCACCAAGGCGACGAUCCGUAGCUGGUCUGAGAGGAUGAUCAGCCACACUGGAACUGAGACACGGCCCAGACUCCUACGGGAGGCAGCAGUGGGGAAUAUUGGACAAUGGGCGCAAGCCUGAUCCAGCCGUACCGCGUGGGUGAAGAAGGCCUUCGGGUUGUAAAGCCCUUUUGUUGGGAAAGAAAAGCAGCAGGUUAAUACCCCGCUGUUCUGACGGUACCCAAAGAAUAAGCACCGGCUAACUUCGUG
rnacentral:rRNA from 1 species